CCAUAGGUUAAUGAGGCGAACCGGGGGAACUGAAACAUCUAAGUACCCCGAGGAAAAGAAAUCAACCGAGAUUCCCCCAGUAGCGGCGAGCGAACGGGGAGGAGCCCAGAGCCUGAAUCAGUGUGUGUGUUAGUGGAAGCGUCUGGAAAGGCGCGCGAUACAGGGUGACAGCCCCGUACACAAAAAUGCACAUAUUGUGAGCUCGAUGAGUAGGGCGGGACACGUGGUAUCCUGUCUGAAUAUGGGGGGACCAUCCUCCAAGGCUAAAUACUCCUGACUGACCGAUAGUGAACCAGUACCGUGAGGGAAAGGCGAAAAGAACCCCGGCGAGGGGAGUGAAAAAGAACCUGAAACCGUGUAC
rnacentral:rRNA from 1 species